rnacentral:tRNA from 1 species
CUCGCUGUAGGAGACGCGGGGCACCCCGGGGCGCUCGACGUCGUCGAAGGUCAGGGACGUCAGCGAGGCCAGGUUGCAUUCCCGGCGGCGCGG